GUCAUUCAACAUUUAUUCAACCAAAAAUACUAAGUCAGCUCUAUACAAACUAAUGGAAGGAUACAGCUAUGCAAAUAUAGAACACUAAAGUGUUACAUGACAGAUGUAUGAG
rnacentral:lncRNA from 1 species